GACGAACGCUGGCGGCGUGCUUAACACAUGCAAGUCGAACGGUGAAGCGCCUUCCUUUUUGGUGGGUGUGGAUGAGUGGCGAACGGGUGAGUAACACGUGAGUAACCUGCCCCCUUCUUCUGGAUAACCGCAUGAAAGUGUGGCUAAUACGGGAUAUUCUGGGUCUGUCGCAUGAUGGGUCUGGGAAAGAUUUUGUUUCGGUGGGGGAUGGGCUCGCGGCCUAUCAGCUUGUUGGUGGGGUGAUGGCCUACCAAGGCGGUGACGGGUAGCCGGCCUGAGAGGGUGGACGGUCACACUGGGACUGAGACACGGCCCAGACUCCUACGGGAGGCAGCAGUGGGGAAUAUGGCACAAUGGGCGCAAGCCUGAUGCAGCGACGCCGCGUGAGGGAUGGAGGCCUUCGGGUUGUGAACCUCUUUCGCCAGUGAAGCAGGCCUGCCUCGUUUGUGGGUGGGUUGACGGUAGCUGGAUAAGAAGCGCCGGCUAACUACGUG
rnacentral:rRNA from 1 species